rnacentral:antisense_RNA from 1 species
AGAGAGGCUUCCACGGUUCACCGCUUGGGGGCCUUUUUCUUUUGC